CGUGGGUAACCUGCCUUAUAGUGGGGGAGUAGCCUUUCGAAAGGAAGAUUAAUACCGCAUAAGAUUGUAGUAUCGCAUGAUAUAGCAAUUAAAGGAGCAAUCCGCUAUAAGAUGGACCCGCGUCGCAUUAGCUAGUUGGUGAGGUGAUGGCUCACCAAGGCGACGAUGCGUAGCCGACCUGAGAGGGUGAACGGCCACAUUGGGACUGAGACACGGCCCAGACUCCUACGGGAGGCAGCAUG
rnacentral:rRNA from 1 species